GAUGAACGCUGGCGGCGUGCCUAAUACAUGCAAGUCGAGCGAACGGACGAGAAGCUUGCUUCUCUGAUGUUAGCGGCGGACGGGUGAGUAACACGUGGAUAACCUACCUAUAAGACUGGGAUAACUUCGGGAAACCGGAGCUAAUACCGGAUAAUAUUUUGAACCGCAUGGUUCAAAAGUGAAAGACGGUCUUGCUGUCACUUAUAGAUGGAUCCGCGCUGCAUUAGCUAGUUGGUAAGGUAACGGCUUACCAAGGCAACGAUGCAUAGCCGACCUGAGAGGAUGAUCGGCCACACUGGAACUGAGACACGGACCAGACUCCUGCGGGAGGCACCAGUAGGGAAUCUUCCGCAAUAGGCGAGAGCCUGACGGAGCAGCGCCGCGUGAGUGAUGAAGGUCUUCAGAUCGUAAAACUCUGUUAUUAGGGAAGAACAUAUGUGUAAGUAACUGUGCACAUCUUGACGGUACCUAAUCAAGAAGCCACGGCUAACUACGUG
rnacentral:rRNA from 1 species